rnacentral:rRNA from 1 species
AUUGAACGCUGGCGGCAUGCUUUACACAUGCAAGUCGAGCGGAGAUGAGGUGCUUGCACCUUAUCUUAGCGGCGGACGGGUGAGUAAUGCUUAGGAAUCUGCCUAUUAGUGGGGGACAACAUUCCGAAAGGAAUGCUAAUACCGCAUACGCCCUACGGGGGAAAGCAGGGGAUCUUCGGGCCUUGCGCUAAUAGAUGAGCCUAAGUCGGAUUAGCUAGUUGGUGGGGUAAAGGCCUACCAAGGCGACGAUCUGUAGCGGGUCUGAGAGGAUGAUCCGCCACACUGGGACUGAGACACGGCCCAGACUCCUACGGGAGGCAGCAGUGGGGAAUAUUGGACAAUGGGGGGAACCCUGAUCUAGCCAUGCCGCGUGUGUGAAGAAGGUCUUUUGGUUGUAAAGCACUUUAAGCGAGGAGGAGGCUACCGAGAUUAAUACUCUUGGAUAGUGGACGUUACUCGCAGAAUAAGCACCGGCUAACUCUGUGCCAGCCGCCGCGGUAAGAC